AUUUCGGCAAGUAUUCCUCAACCCUGCAAAUCACACCUUCAGUUCCUAUCCAGAUUCCUUCUGCUACAUUAAUCAUCUUGCCGUGUCACUCAGUCAUCUUUUCCAAAGAUGAACCCAUGAAUCCUACUGGUCUCCCGUUCAGCCAUGGAGUUUAGUGUACCCUGUUCAUUCCAGGUUUGACUUGACAGUGGGUAUAGACCCCUUAAAGGACACAGAGUGAAAGUGCCAUUGAUAUGACCGGUCACAGACUCCCAGCUGCCCGCAACCAUGGCCUGUCAACUACCAAGGUGUCUGACACCAUGCUGGCCUGGACGUGAGAGGACACAGAGAACAAAGAGAGGGCAAAAAGAAGGGUGGAAUUAGCGGCAUCAAGGAAAAAAGAGUGGAGAACGAUUCAGCAGAUGGGAGGGAGAAAUGACGGAGGAGGGGAAAGAGGUGGGAGAGUGUGUGCACAGAUUGCGUUGGGUGGUGACAUCCGGGUAGCAGUAUGGCCACACAGAUACAUUUGAAAAUCUGAGAAAUCUAAAGUCAUUGCAUGUGCUGGUUAAUAUGAAUGUAAAUGUAGUGGCAGUGUUGUUAUUAUGUAUUUACAUGUCGGUUAUUGAUUGACAGGUGGUGUGUUUAUUCCUUACACUUUUAGGCAGCCAUUUAUUUCCCCGUUAAAACAAGAAGUUGUGGGGCUGUCUCUCAGCUAAGGAGUUAUGAACGGUUAAAUCUUGCUCUUAUCUUGACACUGUAACCGUGUUCAUGUUGGUCUUCAUGCGGACAGUAUUCCUUCCUCGCCAUUCAAAUGAUUUCACCCAUCCACUCACAAGCCACCUACAUCACUGUGCCACACAUGAUUUAGUUUUCAAUAAGAAACUGGAGACAUAAUCAAUCUAUCUGAUAGUUAGGAUGUGCAAAAAAUUGUAUACUGUAGACUAGGCCUAUAUAGACGGAAUGAGGCAGUUUAAGCGUUUCCAUUAGCAAAUAUGUAGAGUAUGCCUACAGGUGGGUGUGGUCUCCAAAACAUGUUAAUUUGUCUUCUUCUUCUUGGAAGUAUCAACAUUCCUCUCUACUUUAAAAAAAUGGAUCUGCUAUGUGGAAACUGCAAUUAGAGUAAGAUCAAAAUUGCAACUCCUUGCUUUCACUAGAGUGCCAUUUUUUUUCAGAAAUAAGGUUUUUCUCCUAUGUGUUUUGCUCUUGGAGUGGUUACAGCUGGUUACAGCUGGUUACAGCUUGCCUACAACUGUGCUGUAAUUUUUCAUAGAGCUCUAAAGAAUGAACAAAAUGCCAUGCAGUGUAUACAAUAACCCGGUACUAUUACAGAUAACACAGUAUUAUGCCAUUAGAUGAAGAUCACGGUAAUGUUCAUUUUAAAUGUAUAAGCAAAUAUUCCUCAACUUUAACCGACUAAUUACAUGUGUUCAUUGCAAAAUUGUAACAUCUGUUUAAAACAUUGAGUGGAUACGAAAUAACUCUUAAGGACCCGUUAUUUCCGUCUUUAACCAUGUAGUUUAGUGUUUGUGUGUGUGUGCAUGCAUGUGUGUGUG